AUAACAGUUUCCUUUGUUCUUGCUUUUGCUUUAUUUGAUUGUUUUUUUUUAAGUAUGAGGAUGUUUUCUCUUUCAUUUUGAAGCUCUUUUUGAGUCACAUAAAUUGCCUAUGUUUUGUGCUUUCUGGAAAUUGUUCUUGAUUGUCUCUAAUCAUUAUAGUGUGCUAGGUCUUCAAGUUGUUUGUGGAGAACCAUUGGAUUCUUGAUUUAGUCCAUUAAAAUGUUUUCCUGUCUUUUACUUUGGUUUGCCAGUGUUGAAUGAUGUCUUAUCUUUCUCUUUAAUUCAUAUUUUUUUAUUCCAAGAUGUUUCUUUUAUCAAUAUUAUGAUCCCUUUGAAUUUAGGUAUGAAGAAAGGAACUGCAAGGUCUAAUUUGUAUGAAAUCUGUGUUGCAAAUCAUUGGAAACCUCCAAUCUUUGAAUGUUGCAAAGAGGAAGGCCCAAGUCAUGAGAGAAUGUUCACUUUCAAGGUUAUCAUUACUAUAGAAGCAUC